rnacentral:lncRNA from 1 species
GUCCCUCUGGAGGAGGUUGUCAUGGUUACCAGGAACUCCAGGAACUCUGUCCACUCACCAAGGGGCGACCAGUCAGGCCUUGUUGGAAGGAGAGCUGUCCCUGGCCUUGCCCCAUGUCACCUCUGUCACCAGGCUCCGCCAGGAGCCCGGAGCGGCCAGAGGCACACAGGGGAACCCACCCAGCACCCUGCCCCUUUGGCUGCAUCGACUCAGAACCAGGGGACACAGCCGGCCUCCCGGGACCUGCUGGGGCCGCAGCCCGAGUCUGUUCAUGGACUUGCGUGCAGCACCGGCCUCCACUCUCCCUGAGGAAAGGACGCGCCGCGUUUUCUUCAUGUGGGGCUGCACCUGACUACAUGCGGGGAGUGACCCUGCUUGCCAGGCCAACCCGAGGGGCAAGAGUGACUUUCCAGCAGACAUUUCUUGAACGAUUCUUCAAAGAUCCACCCUCCGUCGCCCCUGUGCAGAGAGGAGCAGCCCUCGAGGGCGCAGAGCGGCCCACAGGCCUGGAACAGCCUGCCGUCGACGUCAACAGGGCCCUGCCGACGGGGAGGAGGCGUCCCUCCCUCUCCCCCUGGGGACUCCCACUCUCCCCCUCCUCCCUGACUUCAGCCUCUGCUGUAAGAAGCCUCUGCUGGAAGGUGGUCAGGUGGCCGGGGCCCUCAGCCGGGUCUGGGCCCUUGCCCCUCCGUCCCCUGGGGCCACCUCCCACCCCCUGCAAGCCCUGGCCAGUUUGCCAGGUUCUGCCUCAAGGCGGGCCCUGCUGGGGACUCUGGAUCCCCCCAGCCAGCGAGCACGAGGGAGGAGGCUAAGUGGCUAUGCACGCUGACCUGCAAGCCUGGCAGUUCCAGAAGCACGCACUGGACUCCGGGCCGGCCAGGAGGCCUUCGGGCCUCGAACAGGGGGCGCUGUCCCAGGAGGGAAGAACCACCCAGUGGACUGGAGCGUGAUCCUUCCAGUUGACUCAAACUCGGACCUCCUCACUCUCCCCACUGUUGCAUUUUAAGAGCUGUGUUGUCUGCUGUCCCCCUUAAUCUGCUCAGCCUCGUCUUCCCACCUGAAACUUCAGUAGUUUAUUACCAUCUGUUCCCAAACCUUCGCUGGUGCCCCCGAAAUACCGUCCAGUGUCUGUGAAGCACUAGACUGAAUCCAGCGGCUUCCCCACCUCCAUCUGUCCACGGAUCCAUUGAAUGAGGUUGGACCGUGCGCCGAAUUCCACGCCUGGUGCAUGGGGGGGGGGGGGGGGCACGGGAAAUGCCACCACACUGGCUAAUUUCAUGCGUCAACGUGACUGGGCCCCUGGAUGCCCAGACAUUUGGUCAAACAUCAUCCUGGGUGUGCCCGUGAGGGUGUCUCUGGAUGAGAUUAACAUUUUAGUUGGUAGACUGAGUAAAGCAGAUGGCCCUCCCUGAUGUGGGUGGGCCUCAUCCAAACAGCUGAAGACCUGAAUAGAACAAAAAGGCAGAGCAAGAGGGAACUCGUCCAGCCCGACUGCACGGCUGGGAGCUGGGUCUUCUCUGGCCUUCAGAUUUGGAUGGAAAAACUGGCUCUUCUUGGGUCUCCAGCCUGCUGGCUUUCUGACUGGAGCCACAGCCUCUUCUGGUUUGCAGGCCUCUGGCCUUGGAGGGAAGCGCCCUGGCCCUCCGGGGGCUCCAGCUGGCGGACGGCAGGUCUUGGGACUUGUCAGCCUCCAUCACCACGUUAGCCAGUUCCUCACGGUAAAUCUCUGUACGCAUCUAUUCUCGCCUCCUGGCUCUGAUCUCUGGAGAACCCUAAUACAUCAUCGGCGUGGCCAGGGCCAUCACUGGAUCU